rnacentral:lncRNA from 1 species
ACAGUUUCUGCAAUUCCAUCUCUAAAAUGCCUAUUUAUGCAUCUAUAAAGCAAUUAAAAAUGAAAAAAAAAAUACAUUUUAGAGAAAAAAAAUCAAAAUUAAAAUGAAUGGAAGCUUAAGACGGUUACUCGAUGAAUGCAUACUUAUAAAGAUGGGUGACAACAGCGAGUGACUGAGGCAUUGAAGUUGCAAUCCGAUUGAGGAGAGAAUGAGAAAUAAAUGAUGGUGAUGACUGAGAAGAGGAAAAUGGUUCUUUAAGGAAGGGAAAUUCAAUUGGUGGGUUAAAAGCGGUCGCCAAAGACGGUGAUUCCAGCGGGAUGGGAGGGGCUGAUGUUUUACAUAGUCCAUAAAUAUGACACUUGGUCUUUAAUCUUUCAUUCUUGUCAUUAUGAGGGCCAAUAAAUACAUUUAUGACUUAAUUAUAAUUUUGGUCCCUUUAAUUUCUUUUCUUUUUUUUAAUUUUG